UUCCUUCAUUAACCAAUUCAUCUCUUCUCACAAAGAUACAAGGGAACCUCUGUCUAUUCAUAACUUGAAAAUAGACCAUCUUUGUAGGUCAUUCCAAGGCAAAGUGCAUGAAAGGAAGUGAUUUGGACGGCAAAAUGAGAUCAGGAUUGGGAGUCCAGAAACUAGGUUCCAGUCUCAGAUCUUGGAUUCAUAAGUUCUGUGAAACUGAGCAAGCUGCUUCAUUUCUCCGGGCCUAAAUCUCCUCAUCUAUAACCAGGGCAGACAUUCUUCUCCAAACAUGCCUUAAAACAAAAGAAGGGACGUUGCACACCUGGCUGGCAUCAAGCCUACAAGGCUGGCAGGAGAUUCGGAUCCCAGCUCUGCCAAAUCAGAGUCUGACAAGGACGACCCUCCUCUCAGCUUCCUCAACUGUAAAGUGAGCUUCACCAUGCCUUCCGCAGAGAGUGUUACGGGACGUUUACAACUUGAAUAUAUUUGAAGCCAUUGGCACAUAGUAAUUCUCUACACCCAUCACGGGGCUCGAACUCACGACCCUGAGAUCAAGAGUUGCACGCUCUACAGACUGAUGCAGCCAGGCGCCCCUCUCCUUCUCCUAUUUAAGACAAUAUGCCAAGUGGGACCAGGAUAUGAAACCAUAUGAGUCAUGCCCUUGGGGAUCCCAGUGAAGGAGACAGUUUUGAUGAGCAUGAUUUCCAAAUGGAUUCAGGGAGGAGGGAAUGAAAAAUCGAUGUCGAUGACACAGAGGUCAGAAACAUUUGGCUGGAGGCGCUAGUAACCAAGUGCAAAAGAAGGUUUCCCAAAGCAUGGCUUAUGGGCUACUCACAUAAGUACCUGAGGAAGCUAAAUGCAAUUCAGUUUCCAGCUCCUUCUCUAAUUUUACUAAGAAUUUGAGAACAGACUCCAGAAGCAAUUUUGUUGACCAAGAGCACCCAACAGAAUUGGCAACGAGAAGAGCGUGGCGCAGUACCCGGGAAGCGUUAAAUGCUAGAAAGCUCCGUAGGUGAUGCUGACAGAUGAUACUGUUGCAGAAGCAAGCUGGGAAAGAUUGGAGGGGAAAGCCCAGCAGUUUUGCAUGAGAAGAGCAAGUUUAAGUCUCUAGUGAAAUAGUCGGAAACAUCUCUGCCAACUGUGAACAAGGAAGCACGGAUCACAGGGGAGAAAAAUCCGGGAGCAACCCGGGAAGUGAAGAAUUCCAGAUGCUGGACGCCACCUGGGUUUCUCCACGUCUGCCUCUGUCUCAGCCAGUCCAUUGCCUUCCCAGACCUUCUGCUGCUUCUAGAAGCCUCUCGACUGCGCUGUGCGAUUAGGCACAUGGAACCUUCGCUUCCGUGCCGGCGUCUUGAUGCUUCCCUGGGUUUUACCUAGGAACUGAGUCACCGGUCCCUUUGACCUCAGAGUCUCCAGAUGUCCCUUGGGCUUCUUCUGCCCCAUGUUCUAGAAGCACGGAAGGGCUGCUUACGUUCAAAUAUCCCUGUGAGGCUAAAUCACGGUCCGCGUGUUGGACAGCAAAGGCAGGUUCCGUGAGAGCACCGGGAGUGCUUUCCUGAUCAUCCCUGUAUCCUCAGAACUGACCGAAAUGCCUGCAACAGAGCAGGAAGUGAAGAGAUGAAUGUUGAGGUACCAAAUGUGGCAGUUCCUCCUGGGGGAGGAAUGCUUUACAUCACUUUCCCAGAAGAGCUGUGAACCUGCUUAAGGAUUAAAUCGUCAGCAUUGCACGAGUUUGCACAUACAUGCCACAGAGUUUAAAGAUGAGAAGACUGAGGCACAGAGUUAUUAAAAAUCUUGCCUAACUGUUGGGGAUUUACCCCAAAGAUACAGAUGCAGUGAAACGCCGGGACACCUGCACCCCGAUGUUUAUAGCAGCA